rnacentral:lncRNA from 1 species
AUGUUGAGGAAGUUGGUUAGAGAUCGCAACUGCAGUCCAGUGCUCCGAGGGAUUUUUGAGAGUCUCCUGCAUUACCUAACGCAAGAUCUGCCCAAGUGCUCCACCAGAAAGAGAAACCUGGAGGAGCCAGAGUCUGGUUCUGUAGCUGUCAGAGACUCAAGAAAAGAUUGUCCAGAUCAGAGUUCAAAGAAACAGACUCAACUUCAGCUCACCGAGGAGCAUCAAAGGACGCAGAAAAUGACUGCUGAGACCAGUUCCAGGGUCCUAGAAAAAUGCUGUUCGGAUCCACAGAAAGAAAGACUUUCAAUAGGGUGUGGAGAAGACCAAAGAGCAGGAGACUUCAUACCUCGGCGACUUACCACAUUCCAGCUCCUCCAAUCUAAAUUCACAAGGUCUACACCUAGACCUUCCAUCACCCACCAAAGGCAGGUAGGAGCCCUGUCCUCCAGCAUUGGAGUGGCAGGUAAGGUGAACCACAGCCAAGAUGGUGAGCAUGACACUCACAAGAAGGACCAAGUUAAAAGACAACUAGGACAGAAAAGAGGAGGCAGUGUGAAGGAUAUGGUGGCCAAGUUUGCCAUGGCUGAGCAGAAAGAAGGGAGACUAAAUGUGGUACAGAACCAGCCAGUCAAACCAAGACUCAUUGGAAGAGGGAUCCUCUUAUCUUCCUUGAUGGAGAGGUUUGAGACCAUCGCCACUGUAUGCAAGGGGAGUGGCUUGAAACGUUCAAAUAAAAGAUCUUCGGGAGGAAUUGACAAGAAGGUGACCAGUUGUAUAAAGCAGAAGGUAGCUUGUUACGAAAAAGAGCAACAACAGGCGGUAGACAAAACCGUCCGCAAACGAAACCAACACAAGCCAAUGAAAAGUAAAUCUGUUGGACAGCAGUUGAAAAUAAAUCUAAUUGCAAAUGGAGAAGAAAGACCGGAGCAGGCAGUAGACAUCUUAACAAAAGUAAACUCAAACCUGGGAGAAGUAAUGAGGCAAAUUGGUGACCAGCCUUCAGAUCAAAAGGCUGCUGGUCAUUGUUCAUUAAAACAUAUGAAUGGUCAAGCUUAUGAUAACAAUAUUGAGGGUUGGAGGUCGGGGGAAGAUGGCAAAAUUCAGACCACAGCUGAUGAAACUCGUAUCACCAGCAGGUUAAAAUAUGGAUGUCUAGAGCUGCUCUGUUUAACUUCUGCCUCAGAGUGGUCACCACCAGAACCCUGCAGGCUUUCUCCACAGGUAGAGCCUCCUUGA